rnacentral:rRNA from 1 species
GGGGGGGGGGGGGGGGGGGGGGGGGGGGGGCGGGGGGGGGGGGGGGGCGGGGGGGGUGGGGGGUGGGCGGGGGGCGGGCGGGUGGGUGACACGGGAGGAGGCCGCCCGUGACGUGGGGAUAGCUUCAGGGAACGGGGGCGAAUACCGGAUAGGAGCUCCUGCUGCAGGGGGGGGGUUGGAGAGAUUCGGCGGUUGGGGAUGGACUCGCGGCUGAUCAGCUUGUUGGUGGGGUAGUGGCUUACCAAGGCUUUGCCGGGUAGCCGGCCUGAGAGGGUGACCGGCCACAUUGGGACUGAGAUACGGCCCAGACUCCUACGGGAGGCAGCAGUGGGGAAUAUUGCACAAUGGGCGGAAGCCUGAUGCAGCAACGCCGCGUGCGGGAUGACGGCCUUCGGGUUGUAAACCGCUUUCGCCCGUGACGAAGCGUGAGUGACGGUAAUGGGUAAAGAAGCACCGGCUAACUACGUG